GGCCUAGGCUGGGGGUUGUGAACUUGACCGCCCUGGAGAAGACUUGUCACAGGAGGACUGAACCCGGUUUGGCAAUGGCAACUCCCUCACCAGCGCACCCGGGAGGGCUCUGAGCCGGUGGGCACGCGGUACAGCCCCUUCCAGCUUUCUCCACGUGACCUGUCUCCGUGACUCCAGGGUGUUUUUGCGGUGACCCGUCGAAGUACCCGCGGAGAUUUAACCGUGCUUGGAUAAUCCGCCAUGCGGAUCCCCGUUCUCCACCUCUGCUCGCCCUCUUGAUUCCAGGCGUUCUGGGAAGAGAAGGACGCCGCCCUCCACUGGCUUCGCCCGGGGCGCGCGCCAAGCCCCCUCCGCCCUCCACGCAGCCGCCAGCGGAGGGGGCCAAGGCGCACCCUCCUCUCCACUGGGGGAUGGAGAGGAAGAGCCCGGGGUGCUGUGAGGCCCCAAAGAAGCUGGGCCUGUCCUUCUCCAUCGAGGAGAUCUUAAAGAGGCCGGCUGACCGGAGCGACGAGGUCAAGCCAAAAGAGGCAGGGGGACAGGGCGCCCAGCAAGCAGCAGCUGCAGACCCGGAGCCGCAGAGACCCCCGCGGGACCAACCCCCGGAGAUGGCAGGUGCUGGGCUGGUUGCCUUAAAUACCUUUCUCUCCAGCCCAGAACCUUGGCUGUUCCCAUGUGGAUACCAAAGCUGGGUGAGUUGCAAGAUACAGGGACCUGGGGCUUGUUUCUGUAACCAGGUCACAGCUGAGAAUGCCCGCUACCAUCUAUUUAUUCAGCAUUUAGGUUGUGGUUGGCACUGUCCUGGAGACUGAGGGCUUCUCUGCGUUAACUUCAAUAGCAACGCAUAAUUAUCAAAAGGGCACUCAUCUGUAAGAGGGGAGAGGUGGUUGCUGCCCCCAAGUCACAUGGCCACAAAGCAGAGGACCUGGGACCUGGCUGCCCCCAAACACCUGCCCCAGACUGUUCUGUUCUCUCCCUUCAUAAGCAGAGUUCAGCAGGCACGGCCUCUGGUGGCUGAAAUUUGGCCCAGGAUCCACUCGUCCUGAUCACUCCCCAGGCCAGUGCCCACCCCAGGGCUUGUCCCCAAAUAUCAAUGACCCCGGGCCCCUCCUUAAGAGCCAGCUUGAGUGGGGCUUGGAGGUGGGCUCCUUAACCAUGCUAAGAGACAGGAAUCCGUAGUCAGUCUAGGCUCUUCCCCAGCCUGCUGUGCCACCUCGGCCAAGUCCCUCCGCGAUGACUGAGUGAAGGAGGAAGAAAUGGAGCUGGUGAUGAGGGUUCCCUGGAGACUGGAGACUGAAAGGCAAUGAGUCUGGAAUAUGUUACCCCUCCCUCCUUUCCUCCCUUGAAUCCAAGGAGAGGAAGCCCAGGGGGGCAUCUUCCUACCAAACACACAGCCCUGCUCCCUUCCCACAGUCAAGUCUCCCAAAAGAGGGGGUUUGCUUAGCAGCCACAGCCACGUCUCUAAGGAGCUGGUGGAUUUCGCAGUAGCUGAGCCCAUCAAUGAGAACAGGUCCCAGCUUAAUUAUCAGAAGUUCGAAUACACAAUGAGCAUUCACAGAAACCAUUCUUCUCAGAGUCUAACCUGAGUCUCUCCUGCUGCAGCUGCAUAAGAUCCAAGUCUGUGCUCUCUGCUGUGUUGAGAGAGGGAGAUGGCAUUUCCCCUACCCAGAGCAGCGUCCCUUCCUCUAGCCUGACGUUGGUUGGCGGCAAAAGGAGGCCAGUCAUUCUAGCCUUCCCCUGAAGCUGCUGGCAUGCUCCAUGUCAGCUAUCCUGCUGGCCCCAGAGGAGACCCCCAGUAAGUGCUUGCGAAAAUAGCAUCAUGAGAUUGGACUGAUUGCCCUGUGGCUCUCACCGCAAUCGCAAGGCCAUUGUUCCACCCAUCUGUCACAGUGGCAAGCCCCACCUUAGAGCUGAUGCAACCAAGAAGAAAAAACAAAUCACCUGCACAAACUACACAAGCAGGUGGCAUUAGAAUAGAACACUGGUGGCCUGAGACCAUCCAAUCUAGAUUUUUCCUGAACGUGGCUUAAAUACAUACAUCUCCCCACUAGGCUGGAAUGAAGCAUUUCCAAAAGACUCGUGAGGGUCGACCCGCUGAUUUUCAAGAUGACUUUGAGGGGCACGGGGACAAAGAUGAUUUAUGUCAGUAGUUCUGUAAUGAUUUCUACACUAACCUAUUUAUGAC
rnacentral:lncRNA from 1 species